GUCUCAGUGACUCUGGGAAGUAAGCAAUCAACCCCUCUAACAAGAGGUCUUUUCCAGAUCAGACCCUCUCCCAAACCUUAACCAGGUCUAUUGGCUGAAGGGCAAAUUCAUCAUGUGACGCCAGCAGGUGGAGCACAAGUCCUCACCAAAAUGCAGAAAAGUCCAGACUCCCGAAGACCUCCUGGGAAAACAGCACAGUGCAAUGAAGAGGCUGGGACUUCAAAGCCGAAGACUCAAGUCACAGCUCUGAGAUUACAUGACACUGUACAAUUCCUCUGGUCUCUCUGGACUGGGUCUCCUCCACGGUGUCUGCCAACCUUCCUGAACUCUUCAACUGCUCCCCCAUUUGCUUUACUGAACUUUCCAUUUUUCCAACCAAACAAUCUUGUUCCCAUCUUAGAGCCUUUGCACCGACUGGGAACACUUUCUUCCAGAUCUGCACACGGUUGGCUCCUCUUUCUCAUUCAGGCUUCAGCUUAAACAUCAGCAUCUCAGAGUAAUUCCCUGACCAUCCUGUCCCACUCGGCUUCCUGCUCCGCACACCCGCCCUAUCUUCUGCACACUCUGGCCCACUAACAUGUUUUUACUUUCCUCGUAGCACUUACCACUACUAAAAAUUCUUGAUUUGUGUCCUCCAACUGAAAGCUAAACUCCAGUAGAGAGUUUAAUCUUGAUCUUGAUCUUGAUCAAGUGCCUAGGACUGUGCCUGGCGCCUUGAGUGAGGGACACAAGAAUUACAUGUUUGCACUGAAUGAAUAAAGGGCUGAUACUUUCUUCCCCA